AUAACGUCCCAAACAUGUAAUGAAACUUCCUUCUGUUCUUAUCAGCUUAAUAUCUGAUACGAGCCCUAUUUGCACUCACGAUAUUAAUCUUAUUUUUGGCCCGAGACAGUGUGUCUGAAGCUCGCCUCGGCACUGUCAAGGGUUGCCCUGGUAUUGCACUACCUCCAGGUGUAGCCCACCCGUC